rnacentral:rRNA from 1 species
CUCAACGCGGAGAGGUCGUUCAAUACUGCCGAUCUAGAGGGUGUCAGAGGGGAGUGGAAUUUCCGGAGUAGCGGUAAAAUGCGCAGAGAUCGGAAAGAACACCAAUGGCGAAAGCAGCUCCCUGGGGCAUACCUGACGCUAAGAGACGAAAGCUAGGGGAGCGAACAGGAUUAGAGACCCCGGUAGUCCUAGCCCUAAACGAUGGAUGCUGGAUGUGGGACCAUAGAGUUCCGUGUCGAAGCUAACGCGUUAAGCAUCCCGCCUGGGGACUACGGCCGCAAGGUUAAAACUCAAACGAAUUGACGGGACCCCGCACAAGCAGCGGAGCGUGUGGUUUAAUUCGAUGCUACACGAAGAACCUUACCUGGGUUUGACAUAUAGGUGGUAGUGAAGUGAAAGCGGAACGACCCUUCGGGGAGCC